rfam:Neotoma lepida isolate 417 scaffold_1117, whole genome shotgun sequence.
GUGGCCAUCUUACUGGGCAGCAUUGGAUAGUCUCUGAUCUCUAAUACUGCCUGGUAAUGAUGACGGC